AAGCCAAAGGGGACCCCCGCUAAAAUACAUAUAAUUAUAUAGUAACUAUCGGGAUUUUCAUUUCUCGCGGAACUUUCACUCUCGCGAAAAACCAAUGUCAACAUGGCCAAAAAAAAUACAUAAAAAUCGAAAUCUAAAAAGCGCGGAACUUUCAUAUAUUUCCGUCGGAACAACUAUCUUUUAGUAUAGAAAAAGCGGGCUCAAUUUAUCGCGCUGAACCUACUCUGUACAAAAAGUAGUGUAUAGAAUCGCGCGGAGAUUGUAGAACGCUAUUUUAAGAAGUCUAUAUCGUCCGCGAAAAUUGAGCAUUGAAUUACUGUACAAAUCUCGGGUUGCUAUGUAAAUUGCGGGUUGCUAAUGAAAAAUCGCGCGGAAGAUUCAUUACUCCGCGCGAUUUUUCAAUAGCAUUGAAUUACUGCACGAAAUUCGGGUUGCUAUGUGGUUACGCGAUAAAAUUUGAUUGGUUCCGACACCUAGAGUGAACCAAUCAAAACUAGCGUCUUAUCCAGCAUUCAUGCAGUCAUCACGAUGACGGUUGUUUCACAUUAACACAAAACCUUUAAAGGGCGAAAGAAUGAUCAAUUUUGAUGACAUUAGCCAUGAGCUGUAACAGUGUUCCCAACUUGAACAUCAUCUUCUGAGUACAUAUCUGAGGCAGAGCCAGCUUGCACGUCCUGUGUUGUGGACAUCCGUGUUAGAGCCAGCUUGCAUGUCCUGUGUUGUGGACAUCCGUGUUAGUGCUAGCUUGCACAUCAUCUGUUGUGAACAUCCGUGUAAGAGCCAGCUUGCACAUCUUCUGUUGUGGACAUCCGUGUUAGUGCUAGCUUGCACGUCAUCUGUUGUGAACAUCCGUGUAAGAGCCAGCUUGCACGUCAUCUCUUUUGGGCAUCAGUAUUAGAGCCAGCUUGCACAUCUUCUGUUGUGGACAUCCGUGUUAGUGCUAACUUGCACGUAAUCUGUUGUGGACAUCUGUGUUAGAUCCAGCUUGCAUGUCAUACGUUAAGGACAUCAGUCAGAGAUAGCUUGCAUGUUAUUUACUUGUGGACAUUAGAAUCAGAGCCAGCAAGGACAAUGUCUGUUGUGGAUAUCUGUCUUAGAGCCAGCAUGCACUUCAUCGGUUGUUCACAUCCUUCUAAUAACCAGCUUGACCAUCAUCUGAUGUGGAAAUCUGAGUCAGAGACAGCUUGCACAUCAUCCGUUGUGAACAUCUCUUUAUGAUUUUACUCUUUGCUUAGAUUGACACUGUGACUUUAGUGUAAUACGUUGCAACCUUAAGCUAUUCCUAUUGUUGAAUAAAAUAUUGUGUCAUUAAAAUAUAUUUUGUUGGAUAAUUUGUAUGUUGAGUUGUAUUGUUUGGUCAUUGCAAAGUUACAAGUUAUUUUAAGACAAGAACAAGCUCAUCUUUCAUCAUGUAUUUAUAUUAAAAUUCUUGAAUGUUAAUGAAGGUACAGAUCAUAUAAUUAAAAGCAAUUGUAAUAGAAUUGCUUGUGUUUCAUUGCACAGUCAAUACCAUCUUGUCUUUAUGCUGACAUAUAGAACGGAUAAAUAGUAAACUGUCGUUUUUAUAUGCUAUGGGAUUGUAUAUCAACACUUGUAUUUUAAGAUGACAAAAUUGCCAUAUUUUUUCUCUUUAUAUUUUAUUCCUGCUAAAUGGUUGAUGCAAUAAAGUUUAGUCUUCAA